UGGGGUAUAUUGCACAAUGGGGGAAACCCUGAUGCAGCGACGCCGCGUGAGCGAAGAAGGCUUUCGAGUCGUAAAGCUCUGUCCUAUGAGAAGAUAAUGACGGUAUCAUAGGAGGAAGCCCUGGCUAAUUACGUGCCAGCAGCCGCGGUAAUACGUAUGGGGCGAGCGUUUUCCGGAAUUUUUGGGCGUAAAGGGUACGUAGGCGGUUUUUUAAGUCAGGUGUCAAAGCGUGGAGCUUAACUCCAUUAAGCACUUGAAACUGAAAGACUUGAGUGAAGGAGAGGAAAGAGGAAUUCCUAGUGUGUCGGUGAGAUGCGUGGAUAUUAGGAGGAAUACCGGUGGCGAAGGCGACUUUCUGGACUUUUACUGUCGCUCAGGUACGAGAGCGUGGGGAGCAAACAGG
rnacentral:rRNA from 1 species